rnacentral:rRNA from 1 species
GACAUAGGGCGCGAGCGUUGUCCGGAUUUAUUGGGCGUAAAGAGCUCGUAGGCGGCUUGUUGCGUCGACUGUGAAAACCCGCGGCUUAACCGCGGGCUUGCAGUUGAUACGGGCAGGCUAGAGUUCGGUAGGGGAGACUGGAAUUCCUGGUGUAGCGGUGAAAUGCGCAGAUAUCAGGAGGAACACCGGUGGCGAAGGCGGGUCUCUGGGCCGAUAUUGACGCUGAGGAGCGAAAGCGUGGGGAGCGAACAGG